rnacentral:tRNA from 1 species
GCCAGCAUGGCAUAGUGGUUUGAGUGUUGGACUAUGAAUCUAGAGUCCAGAGUUCAAUUCCCAGUUCAGCUA